UUUCUUUUUCUUUCUUCUUCCUUCUCGUUCGUUGUUUUUUCUUCGUAGUCCCCUAAACUCCAACAGAGAAACUUCGUUGUUUCUUCUCCUUCGUGGUUCGAUCUAGAGAGGAGAUGAUGAAAAUUGAGAGAAAAGAUCAUGUAAUGAUUGUUGGUAGUGGUAUUGAUUGAAGGAAUCGAUUCAAGCUACGGGAAAGGAUAAAUCAGGUAGAUGAAUUGAUAGUUGAAUAAUUACUGGGGUUUUCGGACGUGAGAACUAUGCAGAUGAAUUGAUAGUUGAAUUGCAUAAUUAUUGUGAAGAUUAGGAAUUAGGGUUUCCGCUAUUAUUGAAUCGAUUGCAGAUUUAGAAGGUUGGUUUCAUUUAUAAGAUUCCGAUCGAGAUUUGAGUUGGGAAUUGAAUUAAUUGACGGAUUAGGUUUAAAAUUACAGAUCAUAUCAAGUUUCAGGUGAUGAUUUUACGUUUUAGUGAGUUAGGGGUUGUUCUUGAGAAGUUUGAAUGAGUGGGGGCAGAGAAGACGAUUUCUUUGAUUCAUUCUGCUUAGCACCCAAGUUAGAAUCUACGUUCCAUUCUGCAAUUUAUCUGCCAUACUGAUACCGCAUCCUACAUUUUGUUGAGAGCCUUUAGUCACAUGUGUUUUUCAAUAUUGGAGUGUUGGUUUUGCUAGGUGUUUAUUUUGAGUGUUUAUUGUGGGAAUGCAAGUUGAGUAAUAGUUUGGGGUUCGAAGCAGCAGUGGAUGCUGCAGCAGAGUUCAUGAAUAAGGCAGUAAAGCUGGUGAUGGUGGCAGGGCCAAAACUAAGGGUUUCCAAGGCUGGGAAGUUGAAGCCUAAUUUGGAUCGAUUCAAUAACCAACCUGAUUGGCAGGAAAUAUUGACAUACUUUAGAGGGUCUGAGCUUCAGAACUAUUUUACCUGUAUCUUGGAAGAUAACUUGAAAGUAACUUGAAGAUAACUAUUUCACCUGAAAACUUAGAUAGUUGGGGUUAGUUCAUGAACUUGUAUUUUCAUUCUACAAGAUUUUUUGGUGAAUGUCUCGUACUUAUAGAAACGAGAGUAGUUUUAGGUGAUAGUUUGCUUGCAAAAUGUUGUUGGAGUAGUGCGAUAUGGUGAGUAGCUGUUCGGUACAAUAAAAUUAAAGAAAAAAUAUAAUAAAAUGUUGGAUGCAAUGGAACUGAAUUCAGCUUCUGUGCUUGAGCAAUAGAAUAAAGUUAUCUCGUUUUAUGACUUUUUCAGUUGAAUCGUUCUGUUUGUAAUGUUUUGUAUAGGUCGGUUUCAGUUGAAUCGUUCAGUUUUUUCUGUUUUUCUGGCUUAACUUCUAUGUGCUUAAGGUGUCUUUGGCAGUUUAGUAAAAAUCAAGAGCUUGCUGCAAGCUUGUGGAUCGUCAUCUAGAGUACAAGAAGUAAAUAGCUAACUAGAUGACUGCUGCCGCAGUCAACCUGAAGAGCAACAAGAGCGCCUGAAGAUCAUACAGGACAAGUUCAAAGAGGAGAUAAACCAGCAUAUCCAGGACUGCAAGAACACACUCGAUGAUCUGCAAGCAUAUCAGAUUGAGUUAAAAGAAAAUGCAGAGAAGGAGAGUAUGGAUAUCGACCUUUUAUUUUGUUAUCCUGAGCCUUUUGUGUUGAAAUUUCAUUUCUCAGUGCUUCUAGAAGACUAAAACAUUACGCUAGUUCAUAUCACCAACCUUUACUCUUUUGUGAAAACUUUUGCAACCUCAUCAACGGAUGAUUAGAAAAAUGUUGACAAAGUUCCUCAUUUCUUACUUGGCAUUCUAUAUGGUUCAUUUCUUUGUCUUGAAGGAUUUCUUUCCUUCAUGCUAACCAGAAGCAUUUCAGGUAUUAGGUUUGGUACAAUUUUGGGUGGUGCUCUAUUGGCUUUAAGUAUAUCGAGCAUGAGAUCAUUCAAAAGAGGGCAGUCAUCCGCUUUGGCUUUGAAAGGGGAAGCAUGUAAAAUUAAGCGAUAAUUUUGGAUUGAUAUCUAUUGUUGGAAACAUAUGCUAAGCACAAUGAAACUUCUGAAAAAACAAUUUUCUUACCGAUAAGCAAAAGACAGUUUAUUCAGCUAAACAAAGUAUCUCUGUUGUUGUUUAGCUAAACGAAAUGAAAUCUUUAGUUUUGGAUAGUUCAUAUUUGCACUUUGGGUAUACAUUUCUUAAUUCUCUUCUCUUCAUAAUGUGUGAUUCAGCUUUGUGCGGAGGAGUUUAGUGUAGGAUUUUCAAGAUAUUAACAUCCUUACUAACAAUUUCCAAUUUUGCGAACUUGGGUUUACAGUAAUUGCGGGUAUACUCUUUUCGAGGCCUCUGCGAUUAUUUUUUCAGGGCCUCUCGUUUUCAAGUUUUAUUACGACUAUCAUCAGCAUGAAUCCCUGCUUGAGAAGAAAGGACACCAAACUAUGGAGGAGCAUAUCCAUACAGGGAUUCAAAUGGAGUUAACUUUAAGAUUGUGUGAUAAGUGGUGUUAAACCACCAUUCAGCCAAAGGUAACCAUGAAACCCAUUUAGUAGGUCUAGAGCUAGUCAUGCAUCUCAAGUAUGAUUCUAAACAAGCAUUUAUUCUCUCUGUGUGUCCAUCUGUCUGUAGAUGUUAGGCAGUACUAAGAUAUAGUGAAGUUCCUACCUUAGCGAACAGUAUCUGCCAAAAAUUGCUGAUGAAGAUACUGUCCCUGUCAGAUACUAUGGACUUUGGCAUGCCAUGUAACUUGAAGAUAUUAUCUAUGAACCUGGUAGCAACUGAAGCAGCUGUAUAAGGGUAGCUGAGUGCAAUGAAAUGGCUGUAUUUGGUGAAUAUGUCUACCACUACCAGUAUGACUUCUCUUCCCUCAAUUUGGGCAUCCCUGUGAUGAAGUCCAUGCAAAUGUGCUCCCAAUCUUGAUUUGGAAUAAGUAAAAGUUGAAGCAGGCCAGCUGGUGAAGUGUUGAAACCCUUAAGUUUUUGGCAAACAUCACAUUCUUUGACAUACGUAAGGAUAUGCUGCUUCAUACCUGUCCAAUAAAAACAGAGUUUGGCCUUUUGAUAAGUUAAUUGCCCCUCUGAAUGUCCUCCAAUAGGUGAAGAAUGUAGGGCAUCUAAUACAGUCUUCCUCAAGCCACCAUUCUGUCCAAUAUAUAUCCUCUUCUUAUAUCUCAAGAUCCCUUGCUGAAAAGUAAAAUCACCUGAUU